GACGAACGCUGGCGGCGUGCUUAACACAUGCAAGUCGAACGGAAAGGCCCUGCUUUUGUGGGGUGCUCGAGUGGCGAACGGGUGAGUAACACGUGAGUAACCUGCCCUUGACUUUGGGAUAACUUCAGGAAACUGGGGCUAAUACCGGAUAGGAGCUCCUGCUGCAUGGUGGGGGUUGGAAAGUUUCGGCGGUUGGGGAUGGACUCGCGGCUUAUCAGCUUGUUGGUGGGGUAGUGGCGUACCAAGGCUUUGACGGGUAGCCGGCCUGAGAGGGUGACCGGCCACAAUGGGGCUGCGGGACGGCCCAGACUCCUACGGGGGGCAACAGGGGGGAAUAUUGCACAAAGGGCGGGAGCCUGAUGCAGCAACGCCGGGGUCGGGAAGGCCGGCUUUCGGGUGGAAACCGCUUUCGCCUGGGGCGAAGGGGUGGUGACGGGAAUUGGUCAAAAAGCAACGGCUAACUACGUG
rnacentral:rRNA from 1 species